GUCCUCCGCCGCCCGCCGCCCGUCCCUUCGGAAGCGCCGAUUCCUCGGGGAGGAGGAGGCGUGAGGGGAGGCGGCGGAGGCAGCCGGCACGGGGCGCUCGGGCCGCGGGGCAGGGGGCGCGGGGUGCCUCCUCGGCCUCGGCUCUCCCCGCCCCGGGGCGCCCCGAGACCGCCGCCUGCCUCCGCGGGCAGCUUUGUUCUUCUUUCCUCCAACUACCUGUCUGAGCCGCGGGCCCCAGAGGCCCCAAAGAGAGGCCCGGAGGGUCUCCCCAGCAGCAUCCGAGGGGCGCUCUCGGGGAGCUAGGGGCCAGAGUCCGCGGUCCCUCCGUGCCUGCCUCCCUCCCCUCGUGCCUCGGUCUUUUGUUGCCUCUACUCCUCGGCACGGCGCAGCCUGGGCUCUCUUCCCCCUCCCGCUUGGGAGUUUGCAGUGUGGACGCUCGGCAAGCACACCUGUCUUGAAGGAGUACCACCUGUCUUCAGCCUGCUAAUGAAAAUUGGAAUUCUCUGAGGAAAGCUCUGUCAUCUAGAAUCUUCUGACCAGUGGAUGAGUCAGCUCAGGGCCUCUUCUCUGCAUCUUCCUUGGACUCGGACUGUGGGAAGCCCUGUGGAAAGCAGGAUGAUCUAACAGCAGGAUAAAGAUUGUUUUUGUUAUCAUGUCCCAUGGCUAAAAAUUACCCACUGCUUUUCCUUCUUAAACUGGGAUCCUCAACUUGGAAUCUCUGGCUAUUAAUAAAGUCUGGAGAGAGCAAUAGAGUGCAUUGGUUAGGACCUCAAGCAUCAGCAGACCUAAAUCUGAGUUAUCACUUUAUCACUAACUGUGAGAGCUUGGACACAAUGCUUGCCAUCUCUUCACACCAUCCACUCACAUGUGCAAUGGUGUAAAAAUCACAACUACUCAGAGGUAGUUGUAAGGAUGAAAAUAGAUAAUGUGCAAAGUCCGUAGAACAGUGUGUGGCAUGCAGCUUAGUGAGGGCUCCACAAAUUGUAGGUUUGGUAUUAUUUUGCAUAAGCACUCUAUUAGGCAGAAGCUGAUCGUUUAUAUAUCUGAGCUACCCACUAAACUUAUUCAUCCAUUGUCUUAUUCAUUUAUUCAUUUGAUAAACAUUUUUGAACACCUGUUGUGAGCCAAGCACCUUCCGGGAUUUGGGGAUACAGUGUGACCAAGCCAGGUGAGACCCCAGCCUCCUCAGAGCUCAUUUUGGUAGACUCUGAGCUCCUAGAGAGGGAGAUCCCAUCCCUGUAUCUCACAUAGAGCCUAGCACAGCACUAUACCCAGAAGAGAUCCUUUCAAAAUGCUGUUAAAGAAUGACUGGGUAAGUGACACGCCUAAAAAGUGGGGAGAAAAGUCAGGUGUGGUUGCUUCCCCUCUGCUGUUACUGGGACUCAGCUACCGUUAGGAGUAGCCCCUCUAAUAUACGCAGAUGGACCAAGACCGAAGCUGACCAUCCUGAGUUCUGUGCCAGGAACUCCUUCCCAGGGAGCACAGAAGGAAAGUGCUGGGCCCUGGAGAGAUGCCAGUCACUCCGACAAUGGUCUUCAUCUUAAUUGCAGUAUGUAAUUCAGCACUAGGUUCCAAGUGGCAGCCACACUGAGGUUGUUUUCCCACAUAACUCAAUGUUCUUUUCAUUGCCAUGGUAUAUGAGCAAACUGUUCAGCUGUGAGUGAGUUCAGGGGAAGGAAAUAUAAGAUUAGACUGCCAUGCGUACUGAAAGGCAGAAAAGCUUCCAUAUUAUGGAGCAAUAAAUUAAGGAAUAAUCACGAAAAUGUUACAGAUAAUUCACAUCAAUCAAGUAACUUACAGUUACUUUAUUAUUUUAGAUUAUAUUCAUGAUUAUUAUUUAAUGUGUUUUUAAUAUGAAUGUACAGCUUUAUGUAAUCCUUUUGUAAUUGAGAAGGAAUUAGAGGUCCAAGUGCUCUGAAAUACUUUCUUUUUUUCAAUUGCCCAACAUUUAGAAGACUCCUGUUUUACAGCUAAUGCCAAUUAUUCCACAUAGACAUACACUUUUUAUCUCUUUAUUGCAUGUCGGGAUAACUAAAAUCUAUCAGAUUUAAAGUUUAAGUUUUAUGGCCAAAGUCAUAUUUCUAUUUCUGCAUGAGUCUAACUAAUGCUCAUGGAUCCACAGUCCCUACCAGAGGAAUUCAUCAUUAGUCAAUCAACAAAUAUUCCUUGGGGAGCCGCCUUGUGCAAGGUAUGAGAAUGGAGCCUUGGAGCUAGAUACACAAAAAAAUCACAGAGCUUUGUCCUUGAUCUCUAGACACUUUUAGUUUUGUUUGGAAAAUAAGACAUAUAGGCAUGGGAUGACAAUUAAAAAUAUAAGGCAAUAAAUGUUGAAUGUCAAAUGAUAGCAUCAGAAACAGUUGCUGUGGAAGUCCACAGGCAACAGCAGUCUGGGGUCAUAUUUGGUUGUGGAAGCCUUGCCCACUGAAUGUUGUUUGUUUCACAAAAGGUUGCCUGAUGAAAUGGGAGAAAAGUGGGGUAAGUCAUAUUCCCUUGCUACUUGAGUGUGAUUUGAGAGCUAGCAACUUCAGCAACACCUGGGAGCCUGUUAGACCUGCAGAAUCUCAAGCACGACCCAGGACUGACUGAGUCAGAAUCUGCAUUUCAACAAGAUCCCCAGUGAUUGUGCAUUAAGGUCUCAGAAGCACUGGCCUAUCCUGCAGAUUCGUAAGUCACUUGUCUUUUUUGAAACAGCGUCUCUCUCAGUCACCCAGGCCCCAGUGCAGUGGCGUGAUCAUAGCUCACUGCAGCCUGAAACUCCGGGGCUCAAGCGAUCCUCCUGCCUCAGCCUCCAGAGUUGCAGGGAUUACAGGCAUGAGCCACCAUGCCCAGCCACUUUUCUUGUUUGAUGGAAAGUUAGACUCAUACUUGCUAAUCUCAUUCUCACUCCAAUAAAAAAUAAGGCAAUUAAAGGAAACCAUUCAUUCAACAAAACUUUGUGUACCUUCUUGUGCUAGAAACUUUGUUCCAGUCACACACUAAAUAUAUACAAGUACCCAAAGACAGUUUUGGAUAUUCAGUACUAGUGACUUCAUACUGAUGGCUCUGAGGCCUAAGGGUCAAACAGAUUUGUAAUACUCAGGGGUGUCUCCUUCAUCAACUAGCAAACCUGGGUCAUCCCCAGAAGUGGGGUAAAUUUGUUAGAAACUCCUAUGGGCCAGGCUCAGUGGCUCACACUUGUAAUCCCAGUACUUUGGGAGGCCAAAGCAGGUGGAUCAUCUGAGGUCAGGAGUUCAAGACCAGCCUGGCCAACAUGGUGAAACCCGGUCUCUACUAAAAAUACAAAAAAACCCAAAAAGAAAUAGCUGGGCGUGGUAGUGGGUGCCUGUAAUCCCAGCUACUCGGGAGGCUGAGGCAGGAGAAUCGCUUGAACCCUGGAGGCAGAGGUUGCGGUGAGCUGAAACUGCUCCAUUGCACUCCAGCCUGGGCAACAAGAGCAAACCUCCAUCUCAAACAAACAAAUCUCCUAUGGCGACAGAGUGAUGCCCAGGGAAGGUGGAACUCUGUGCCGAAACAAUGUUAGUUUUGCAUUUGGUGUCCUACUGUCCUGACUGUCUAUUCAGCAAUCUAUUUGACAUUUCAACCUCUGUGUCUAACAGGCUUCUUAAUAAUAAACAUCCAAAAGAGAAGUGUUAACUUUCUCCCGCAAAUCUGUUUUGCCCCGAUCUUCCUCUUCUUCAUAAAUGAGACUACCAUCUGCCAUGUUGAUAAGCCAAAACUUAAAACUCAUUCUGAAGUCUUCAUCUGUCCUACCCACCACAUGUAAUCCAGGAGCACUCCCUGUCCAUUCCACCUUCAGACUAGGAUGCUGGCUAUGUCCCCGUCGGGUCGUCUCCAUGGGCACUAUCGGCCGUCUUGCCUGGGGGAUUGUGCUGGCCACCUACGGGGUCUUCCUGUCUCCACCCUUGCUCGUGUCCAAGCUCAUCUCCAUACAGCAGCCAGAAUGGUCGUAGACAAAUGUCAGUCUCUCCAUGUCAUUCCUCUGCUUGAAACUUUAAUGAUUUCUUAUUUAUCUUCAAAUAAAACUGAAAUGAUCAGGCUCUGUUUGAUUGGUCCUGUUGUUUCUUCCUCUUCCCCUGUUGCCCACCAUCCUCCACCAAACUGACAUUUUAAAUUAUUCCUUCAACAUCCUCAUGUCUUUUCUGCCUCAGGAUCUUUGCAUCUGUUACUUGGAAUGGUCUAGAACUGUCUAGAGCGGUCUGCCUGACUCUUCACAUGGUUGCCUUUUGAUCUUUCAGAGCUCAGAGUAGCUGUGCUGACUUAGAGAGGCCUUCCCUGAAGUUCAUCUAGCAGGCAACCCCAGCGUUCUGAUGUACUUCGUGGCUCUGAUGCCAACUACCAAUCACAUGAAGGGCUGAGACUUCAUCUCUCUUGUUCAUUUCUAUUUCCCCAGCACACAGUGUGCUCCAUACAAAUAUGUGACUGAAUGAAAGUGUAGUUCUGGAUUUGUGUGGCUUGAUAAUGUUUUUCCUUUUUCAGUGUAAAUCUGAAAUACUUUUUAAUUCAAUUAACCAAGUUUUAGAAUAAUGCUGCUAUGCAGUUAACAGAGAUUAUUAACACAGGAAUACACAUUCUACCUCUGUAUUUCAUACAGGUAAAACAAUGAGCCAGAUGGAAUUUGAAUAUAGGUGCCUCUAGCCAGCUGAUCAUAUGGAGGACAGAGCUCAUGCCCAGCACACAGCAGUCUCUGCAGUGUAGUCAAGCUUGCCACCAGAUCCACUCAGACAGCACUGUAGCCACUUGGGUAGGGAGGAGUCUCCUCAAUGGGCCUCUCUGGGUGUAGUGGAAGUAAGAGAGCCCUCUGAGUCCCUACGCCCUGACAGGAAGUACAGAUGAAUCCUUACUUAAACAGAGAGGAGAUCACUCCACUUUCCUUAAGUGGUUUAGAUUGUUGGUUCCUUUUGAACUCUAAGGAAUUGGGCAAUGUUUUAAAAAAUUAUAAACUACCUGUUUCCAUGUCCAACACAAUACUGAAGAGUCUCAUGCUUGGUGAUUGUGGGUGUGGCAGGUAGAAUAAUUCCAAUGACAUCUGCAUCCUAAUCCCCGCCCCUGCCUCAAUCUGGAAUGGGAUCCCUUGCAAGGCAGACAUGGUGAAAGACCUGAGAUCGGGAGGUUAUCCUGGAUUCUCUGGUGGUCCUAGUGUCAUCACAAGGACUCAAUGUCAUCACAAGGGUCUCUAAAGAAGUCAGAGCAGGAGAAGUAAUGACAAAAGCAGAGUGUCAGAGUCAGAUCGAGGCUUGAAAAUGUUACACUGCUGGUUUUAAAGAUGGAAGGAAGUCAUGAGCCAAGGAAAGCUACAGUUUUCCUUGAUGACCCUCCCACCUUAGCCUCCUGAGUAGCUGGGACUACAGAUCCCAGCUCACUUGAGCCUGGGAUAUCGAGGCUGCAGUGAGCUAUGUCUGUGCCACUGCACUCUAGUCUGGGCAAAAGAGUGAGACUCACAAAAAGGAAAAAAUGACCAUUUUAUGUAGUUUUCUAGAAGAUAAUGAAGAAUCCGUCUGUGGGACUUGAUUCCUGUUUUCUUCCUGGAAAAUGGUGUGGAGUGAUAGAUGGAUGGUUUAUUGCAGUUAGAAAAAACUGCUCCUGCUUUCCUACCACCUUGUGAGCAUAGCUGUGGAAAGGGGAAUUCUCAGCAAGCGUCAGAGCUCAGUGCUUAUGAUACAGUGAGAGCUAUAGCUGACAUUUAAAUACUUUUUCAUUUUUCAUUUUAAACCACCCUGUAAGCAUUCACUAAUUAAUCCUCAUCAGGCACUGAUGUGAAAGAAUUACCUUCAAUAUUCUGCAGAUGAAAAUAGUUCAUGCAGUACUUCAGAAAGUUCACCUGAUGAUGGAAAGGAGGAAAUGUGUCUCUUGCCACACCUACUGCUGUAUUUUAAAGCAGUCGUUCUCAAGAGGGACCUGGUGCUAUCAAAAGGCACCUAUGUAACCAUACAUAUGAAUACGUCAAGUGGAUACUGCUUCCCGCUGUCCGUGCAGCAGCAUCAUCAUCACAGUGCACACUUGAUCCACAUGCUGUGUGCCACACACGUGCAUGCCCUAUACCCCCAUUACACCCUCCUCUCUCCCUUCAGAAGCUCCCACUCUAGGCCAAGCCCCAUCAUUUCUCCCCUGGGCUAAGGCAGUGAACCCCUGAUAGAUCUGCCUUCUCCCUUGCCCCCAACAGUCUCUCCUAGCAGCAGCCAGAGUGAUCUUGUAAAAACUUAAAUCAGAUCAAUGCCACUCUUCUGCUUCAAUCCUAUCAUGAUUUUUCAUUUCCCUUACAGUAAAGUUUCUUCUUCUUACCUUGACUUCUGUUAUGAACUGAUCAUUUAUGUCCCCCCAGAAUUCCUAUGUUGAAACCUAACCCCCAGUGUGAAGGUAUUAGGAGAUGGAUGGGGCCUUUGGGGGUUGAAUAGGUUGUGAGAGUGGAGCCCUCAUGAAUGGGAUUAGUGCCCUCAUAAAUAGAGUCCAGAGAUCUCCCAUGCUUCUCUUUCUGCCAUGUGAGACUACAACAAGAAGACGACAGUCUACAACCUGGAAGAAAGCCCUCACUGGAACCUGACCAUGCUGGGACCCGAUCUUAGACUCCAGCCUCCAGCACUGUGAGAAACAAAUGUUUGUUGCUUAAAAGCCACUUAGUCUAUAGUACUUUGUUAUAGUACCCUCAAAGGACUACAGUAGCUUCAAAGCCCUGCAGUGUCGGGUCCACACCAGCCUCCUGAAUGCUGAUCCUGGCUGAUUACAUCCAGCUACACUGGCCUCUUCCUCUUUUCUGAAUGUCCCAGGCCUAUACUCACCUCCAGACCUUUGCACUUGAUACUCCUCUGGUCUUCCCAUGACAGCUCCUUCACUUCUCAGCUCAGACGUCAGCUCCACAGAGAGGCCUCUCCUAACAAUCCCAUCUACAGGGACUGGGUAUCUAAUAGUCUUAAUAGAAAAGUGAGCAGCAACAGUUUGAGCCCCUUGGGGAAGAGGAGACUCCCUGGGGGGACAGCACGGCCUCUGCUUGCAUCCUAGGUUUUACUGAAGCACUGUUUGCAGAAAGCCUAGCGGGCUCAGAAAACCAGCCAUGCCAUGGUGGGAAGAAAGCCUUGCUGAGAUCCUGUGGCUGAAAACCAUCAUGGGCUUUUGCUUUCAGACUGCCCAUUGCCAACCGAUGCAGGCCCAGAGAAGCAAGGAGGAGUGCUGUUCUGGGAAGGCGGUGGGCACAUAGAUGGAGCUAGACUUGCGACUUCAGGCCCUCAGCAGCCACAUGAUCUUGCAGCUGUGGGCCAUGCACCUGCUUCUUGGGCCCAUGAUUAACCAGAUGUUCAGCUCCUUAAAGACAGACUUCGGGGCCCUUGGCUGGCAGGGGAUGCAAUCUGCAGAUGAGAAGCUCUGAGAAGCAGUUCUCAAAGCCAGGAUCCAGAGGCUCAGCCAUGUGAGUUUCCUGUGAGAGGGAAAAGGCAGGAGCAUAGAGGCCACUGAAGUUGUUCUCAAAAGCCCCAAGAUACCUUUGGUCUCAGUGGAGGCAUCCAGGACACAGCUGUCUUCACUUCUUCACUCAGUCAUUUAGAAAUUGUUCAGUGAGCACCCACCCUGUAUAAUUCACUGCUGCUGCAGCUGAGCUCAACAUGGUGUCAUCUAGGGGAGGAGCUUGAAGAGGUUGUGUUAAGGAAGAACCACGAGAGGAGUGCCCAGUUGGAUGUGACCCCGGAUGUGUAGGCAUCCAGGAGGCUGAAAGAAGGCUGACCCAGGGCCUGAUCACUUGACAAUGGACAUGCUACCUCACAGAGCAUAACACCACAACUAACACAUCCUGAGCCCUCAAUCAAUGUUGUGCAAUAAAGGAAUAAACCUGGAUGUCUUUCCUGUAACCAAACAUUGGACUAUUCAUCAACUGUGCACUUUUUGUUCCCCAACGAGCACAAGGGUUUGGACUGCACCAUCCCCACUCUUUCUUGACUCUCUCUGUACACCAUAAAUGCAUGGUUCAGGGUGAUUUUGCUGGGCAAGGGUGAUGGUUUGACUAUUUGUGUCCCUCCAAAAUUCAUGUUGACACUUAAUGCCCAUUGUGGUGGUAUUAAGAGGUAGAGACUUUCGGGAAGUGAGUAAGUCACGAGGCCUCUUUAUAAAAGAAGCUUCAGGCCAGGUGCAGUGGCUUAUGCAUGUAAUCCCAGUACUUUGACAGGCUGAGAUGAGAGGAUCAUUGAGCCUAGGAUUUCAAAACUAGCCUGGGCAACAUAAUGAGACCCUAUCUCUAUUAAAAGUAAAACAUUAGCUGGGCAUGGUGCGGUGCACCUGUAGUCUCAGCUACUUUGGAAGCUGAGGCAGGAGGAUCACUUGAGCCCAGGAGGUUGAGGCUGCAGUGAGCUAUGAUUGCACCACCGCACUUCGGCCUAGGCAACAGCGUGAGACCUUGUCACACACACACACACACACACACACACACACAAUAGUUUCAGACAAUAGCCUGGCCUGGCCUUCCCAUCUCUUCUGCUGUGAAAACACAACAUGCAUCCCUUUUUGCCUCUUCAGCACAUGAGGAUAUAGCAAAAAGGCCCAGGCCCUCAACAGGCACUGAAUCUGCUGGUACCUUGAUCUUGGACUUCAGAGCCUCCAGAACCAUAAGAAAUAAAUUUCUAUUCUUUAUAAAUUACUGAAUCUGUGGCAUUUUGUUACAGCAGCACAAACAGACUAGGACAGGGAGGUUGGGAGUGCACCGUGUGAUGUGUCUUUGCAAAGUCUACCCUGUACCAAGCUGACUGGCCCUAUGGGAUUUGUUAGCAACUAGCUGGGCCAGAUCAUUAGAAAACAAUUUGAAAUGCAGAAUGAGGAAUGGUGGCAAAUUUGGCUAUUUUUCUCAGGGUUUUGUUCAGCACCAUUUGCUGCCAUGCUACCAGCAUAGUGGUUUGUGUGGCCUGUACAUCCAGAAUACCUGGGUUCAAAUCCUGCUCCCUGCCUGUGUGAUCUUGAGCAGGUGAUAUGAGCUGCCUGUGCCAAGUUCCGCAUCUGUAAAGUGAGGGUGGUAAAAGGACCUACCUCGUAGAGUUGCUAUGAGAAUGAAGUAAGUUGGCGGGUGAAAAGGUGGUGAAUAUUCGUAUUAUUGAUGUUAUUAUCACUGUAAGCAGCAGUGGCAGCAGCUGCCAAGCCUCACAUUCCAACCUGAGAAUUUCCAAGAGAAGGCAGAUGAUCUUGUAAAACUCCAGGAAGUCACAUCUCUGAUUUCCAGCCCUCCUGUCUACAGAGCCAAACCUUUCCGCAGAACUCUCCCUGCUACCAUAAAAUGCUGCCUCCACAGAGGGAACCCUCCCCAGGCACAAGGCAGAUGGUUGCUCCGUUCCAUGUGGCCCCUCACUGCAGUGCAGUGAUGAUGUUUGGGCUGAGCAAAAGACUUCAGUGCUCAGAGGAGAAGGAGCAGGAGGCUUUGCCAGCUUCCAUUUGCAUGAGAAAAGAACUGAGAGGAGAGGGGAGAAGGGGGAAGAUGCUUGCUUCCUCCUUCCAUCUUGGCAUUCACAGAGCAGGCUGCAUUUGAACACUGCCGUGCUAUGUACAUUGGAUCCAUGCAAUGUUACAUAAGUAUUUCAUAAGGGACAAGGUGACUUUGUGUUUUUUUCACCUGUUCUUCUCCUCUGAUCCCAGAAGCUGGGAAGUAGGCUGGAUGCAGAGAAAAGAGCAUUGUUCUCAAGUCUGCUUCACUGCUUAAAGACUAAGAAGGAAAAAAAAUAGAAAGGAAAACAAGAAUCAUUGUCUCUUUUGUUUUCUCUUUAAAAUAUAAAAGGAACUCUGAAACCAAAGUUCGGAUGACAUCGUAUGACAUUUUCCUUUCCACAUGGAAAAAUUUUGAAUAAAAGAUCUGUUUUCUGGGUUGACACUUCUGGGCUCUUUCAAUCUCCAGUAGCAGCAAACUGCUGUCAUUUCUGGAAAUAAGGAUGGCAAGACUCAGGGGGUUAAUCUGCCUGAUUUUGCUCUCCAAGGGUGACAGCGUAAAGCUCUUUGGCUCUGCAUCCACAGUAAUAGCUGAGGGCAGCGCUGCCCAACAGAACUUUCUGUGGUGAUGGAAGCCUUCUCUAAUCUGUGCUGCACAUCUGGCAGCCACGAGCCACACGUGGCUAUUGAGCGCUGGAAGUGGGGCUGCUGUGACUGUGGAACUGAGUUAACUUCACUGUUAAUUUAAAUUUAAAUGGCCACGUGUGGUCUGUGGCUACAGUAUUGGCAGGUGCAUGAGAGCAAUAGCAAAACAAACUGUAAGUAGCAUCCACAGAUGUUGACUGAAUGCAUCACACAGAUAAGAUGGAAAAGGAAGAGCCUAAAAGUUCUGAAGAGUGAUGUUCCCCUUCCACAGGAGCAGUUUAUGUGUCAGUGGCAAUGAUGUUUUAUGAAUAUUUGGGAUGACCAUUUUCUGUUUCAUCUUUCAGCUGUGGGAGUAGCAGUCUACUUUAUUUCUUUUCAAUUUUUUUUUAGAGAUGGAGUCUUGCUAUGUUGCCCAGGGUGAUCUUGAACUCCUGGCCUCACAUGAUCCUCCUGCCUCAACCUCCCAAAGUGUUGGGAUUACAGGCAUGAACCACCAUGCCUAGCUCAGUCUACUUUUUUUAAAAGAGGAAUGAGAUCAAGAUCACAUUUCAAAAAAUAUGUUGUCUCCUAAAGUAAGUAAUAUUUCUACCUGGAAGCUCUUCCUUCAAGUCUAAAGUCAAAGGGAAAGACAAUAAUUUCUUCUAGGCUUUUGAGGUGAUGAUCAUGGGGUUUGCUUAGAUGUCAGAUCCACGAGUCACCCUAAAGCCUGAAGAGACAGAGUAGAUGGGAGCUGGUGUUGGGUGAACACUGGACUGGUCCCAGGGCUGCGGUUCUUGAUCAGUGUAAUGCAGGAAGGAGUCGCCAAUGUGGCCACGCUCCUGGUAGGGGUUCUUUGUAGGUACUAGAGGCUCAGUAGCUGUCCUGAGUCAAAAGACCAAAGAAAAAGGGAAGCCUCAAGGAGAGAUGAGAGGACAGCAGAUGAAAAUGAGCCUGCAGGAAACCAAGCUCUGAGGAGAAAUGGGCAGGCAGCCAAGAGCAGGGCAGAAACUGCAGCAGUAGCAGCGGCAGCAAUGAAGUCUCCAAGUUAUGAGUGGCAGGCUCUGAGAACAAUGAUGGAGCAGGAAGUUAAUGCAGAGGGCAGGCAGAGAGCCCCUGAGACGAUAAGCAAGAUGAGUGGAGAAAACCGACAGGACUUAGACCUGGGCAUGGGCAGCAGAGGACCUUAUCCCAGCAGCAGAGGGACUGGCAGUUAAUGACGAUGCUCGAACAUCUGCUAUACGUUGGGAAUUUUGCACGCAUUUAAUAUUUUGCAUGCAGAUAAUAUUAUUCCCAUUUUAUGAAUGAAUGAGCCCAGACUUAAAGUGCUGGAGGGAUUUAAUAUUCUCCUGGAUCUAUCUGCCUUGCUGGCUACUCCUUCAGGCUUCCUUUUGAGUUCAUUCUUCUCUUACCACGUCUGUAAAUGUUAGAAUUUUUUAAGGAAUGUUACACAGUUGAGUCGUCUUCUCUUCUCACCCCCUACUUACUCAGCACAGUAUAAACCACUCUCUGGGAACUCCAGAAUUUUGUCUCUAUCUGGAAUCUCCCCUAGGAAUGGCAAAAUUAACCUAAAGAAUGUACAAGGAAGGAAAAAAUAGACAUAAACCUAGGUAUUUUUAUUUUGUUAAUUAGAAAAGUAGAAAGAACAGAUAAUGAUUCCAAGAGUUGCUUUUCAUUUAACCAAUAAAAUAACAAACCCUUAACUGACCCAAUAAAGAAAAUGGGAGCAGUCACAAAAUUAGGAAUGAGAAAAUAUUUCAAGAGACCACUCUGCUCAAUGCUAUGUUGAAACUUUUGAAAACCUAAAUACCAAUUAAAUUUUUCCAGUAAAAUAUUUAUGACCAAGGUUUACUCUACAAGAGAGUCUACUACUAGAGUUGCCAGAAUUAGUAUACAGAAAUUUGAAUUUUAGAUAAAUAAUUUUUUAGUAUGUCUUACGCAACAGUUAGGACAUACUUUUACUAAAAAAAAAAAAAAGUCAUUGGUUGUUAUUCUGAAAUUCAAAUUUAAUUGGAAAUCCUGCAUUUUAACUGGCCGAUCUAUUAAAACAGAUAAAUUAUUGUGGAGAAACAAUAGGAACUUGUCAAAAGCUUUAAAAACAUCAAGAUCAGAAGUUUCAGGUAAAGCGUAUGAAUUAAAUUCAAGCAAUAUUUUCAACUCUAUUUAAAUGAUUCCAAAGCAUAAAAAAACAGCUUCUAAGACAUUUUUAUAAAGCUACAAAGACUGAAGUCAAACCUGACAAGGAGAGUUAAAAAAUGUGGGCAAAACAGUGGUGAAUAUUCAUGAUAAAAUCUUACUGUGAUAUUCACAAACAUGGGGGAAUGAUAUUUUCUUUAAAAUCGACAGACUUUUUAGAGAAAAAAGGCAGUUGAAGAAAUUAUCAACAGUGAUUUUACCAAGUUCUUUGUAUUUUUUCUCAGUCUUAACAUGCCUAUAUAUAUUAUGUACAUAAUUCUUAGCUGUAAGUCAUUUUUAUAAUAGAUGCUAUUUUCUGCAAGCCUCUCAAAUUAAAACCCAUUGUUCUGAAAGUACUAAUCAAUGCAAUUACAUAAGGGAAAAAAUGAGACAUAAAUACUUCAACCACGGAGGCAAAAUUAUUACUGUUUUCAAACAAUGUAGUUAUUUACCUAGAAACUGCAAAAGAAUCAAUUGGAGGAAUUCUGUUACCAGCAGAAGAUAGUUCAGUUAGGUGGAUUGGUUUCACAAUGAAUAUCCACAUUCAGUGGCAUUUCAGUAAACAAAUAGUAUUCAGCUAUAAAAUAUAAUGGAGCAAAUUAUCUCAUUUAUAAUAGCAUAAAAAAGAUAAUGUGCCUAGACAUAAAUUUAAUUAAAAAUAUAGGCUAGGUAUGUUGGCUCAUGCCCAUAAUCUCAAGACUUUGGAGGGCUGGAGGAUCCCUUGAACCCAAGAGUUUGAGACCGUGAGACCCCAACUCUACAAAAAAAUAAAAUUAGCUCGGCAUGGUGUGCAUGCCUGUCAUCUCAGCUAUUGUGGAGUCUGAGGCAGGAGGAUUGUUUGAGCCCAGGAGUUUGAGGCUGUAGAGAUCUGAUUGUGCCACUGCACUCCAGCCUGGGUGACAGAGUGAGACCCUAUCUCUAAAAAUAAAUGGGGGGCUAUUAAAUAAAACAACAACGUGUAACACUUCUUGAAGGACAAAAAAAAAAUAAAAAUAAAUAAGUAGAAAGACCUGUCAAAGACCUAUCAUAUUCUUGGGUAGGAAGAUUCAAUACUGUAAAUGCAUAAGUUUACCCUAAAUUAAAUCCAUAGAUCCAAUUUAAUCCUCAUCAAAAUGCCAACAGGCACUUUUAUAUCUUGAUAAAGUAUUAAAGUUACUUGGAAACAUAAGUUUGAGGAAACUCCAUAGACUCCCGUAUGCAAUAAUCCAUUAAUAACCCAGUAAUAUUGGGGAGGAUACACAAGAAGCUGUUUAUAAUAUUCACCUCUUAGCAGUGGAAGUGAGGGGUAAAGACUUGAGCCAAAGAUGUAUUUUCAUGUUAUACUCAUCUAUGCUAUUUGAAUUUUUCCACAGGUGCAAAUAUUACUUAUAUGAUUAAAAAUAGUUAUUUUAAAAGAACAUUUCCAUUAUAUUGAGUACUGAUUUGUAACCCUCUCUGCUCAUUAGAAUCAUAUAGGGAGCUUUGGAAAGACACCAGGUCUCAGCACUUGCCUCCAGAUUCUAAUUCAAUUUGGCUGUGUUAGGGCCCAGGCAAUGGCAUUUUUUACAAAAGUUCUCACUGAUUCUGAUGUGGAGCCAGGGCCGAGAGCCACCACUGUCAAGUAACCCAUGGCAGCAUUUUCCAACUUUUGGUCACAACCCUUCGGUUAGGAAAUCAACUUAAUGGCUUGGGACCAGAGUUAAAAACAAACAAACAACAACAACUGAAACCAACUCAAUUGAGCAGAAACUUGUGCAUGCCUGUUGUGUUUAAGACAUGUCUCUUUCUGGGGGAUGUCAUCCAAAACAUUGGAAAACCCCUACCUUAAGUGGUUCAGAUCUUUCAGACUUUCUGAGACAUUUUAUCAGAAUUUGUGUGAACUAUUAAAGGCUUUUUACUGUUUAAAAGUUAUAUUGUAAUUCUGACUUUUGUUCACGUAUUUGAUGAUUCAAUUAUUUAUUCAUUACAUAGUCAAAGGUAGAAAAUUACAUGUAAUUACUUGUGCUUAUCUGAUAAGCAUAGUGACUGAUGUAUGUAAAUGCUCAAUAUGUGAUGG
rnacentral:lncRNA from 1 species